AUGAUCAAGGUUGAUUUAGCCAAAGCUUUUGAUAAAAUUGAGUGGAAUUUUAUUAUGAGUCUUGCAUGUAAAGGGCUUCAUGGUCAUUUUAUUAAUUUGAUGCAUGCUUCUAUAGUUAUGCCAACCUUUCUAGUUAUCAUAAAUGGCCAAGCUUGUGGAUGAUUCCAAAGCAGCAGAGGUAUAAGAGAAGGAUGCCCUUUAUCUCCUUAUUUAUUUGUUCUGGCCAUCAAUGAACUUCUUAUAUCCCUGCAAGAGGCCAUGUGCUCCAAUCAACUAGCUGGGACAAUCUUGGGACCAAGCCAUCCUCCUAUUCACUCCCUCAUGUUUUCAGAUAGUUUAUUACUUUGUGGCCAAGCUAGCACCACUAAAGCAACCCAAAUACAUAGAAUUCUUUGA
rnacentral:rRNA from 1 species